AUUGAACGCUGGCGGCAGGCCUAACACAUGCAAGUCGAGCGGAUGAGGGGAGCUUGCUCCUGGAGUCAGCGGCGGACGGGUGAGUAAUUCCUAGGAAUCUGCCUGGUAGUGGGGGAUAACGUCCGGAAACGGGCGCUAAUACCGCAUACGUCCUGAGGGAGAAAGUGGGGGAUCGUCGGACCUCACGCUAUCAGAUGAGCCUAGGUCCGAUUAGCUAGUUGGUGGGGUAAAGGCCUACCAAGGCGAUGAUCCGUAGCUGGUCUGAGAGGAUGAUCAGUCACACUGGAACUGAGACACGGUCCAGACUCCUACGGGAGGCAGCAGUGGGGAAUAUUGGACAAUGGGCGAAAGCCUGAUCCAGCCAUGCCGCGUGUGUGAAGAAGGUCCUCGGAUUGUAAAGCACUUUAAGUUGGGAGGAAGGGCAGUAAGUUAAUACCUUGGUGGUUUGACGGUACCAACAGAAUAAGCACCGGCUAACUUCGUG
rnacentral:rRNA from 1 species